rnacentral:rRNA from 1 species
CGGGAGGCAGCAGUGGGGAAUAUUGGACAAUGGGGGAAACCCUGAUCCAGCAAUGCCGCGUGAGUGAAGAAGGCCCUUGGGUUGUAAAGCUCUUUCACCUGUGACGAUAAUGACGGUAACAGGACAAGAAGCCCCGGCUAACUCCGUGCCAGCAGCCGCGGUAAGACGGAGGGGGCUAGCGUUAUUCGGAAUUACUGGGCGUAAAGGGUGUGUAGGCCGUUUUUUAAGCAAGAUGUGAAAGCCUCGAGCUCAACUUGAGAACUGCAUCUUGAACUGAAAAACUAGAGUGCGAAAGGGGAAAGAGGAAUUCCUAGUGUAGGGGUGAAAUCCAUAGAUAUUAGGAAGAACACCAAAGGCGAAGGCAACUUUCUGGUUCGCAACUGACGCUGAGACACGAAAGCGUGGGGAGCAAAUAGGAUUAGAUACCCUAGUAGUCCACGCUGUAAACGAUGAAUGCUAGACGUUGGGGGCUUGCCUCUCAGCGUCGCAGCUAACGCAUGAAGCAUUCCGCCUGGGGAGUACGGUCGCAAGAUUAAAACUCAAAGGAAUUGACG